rnacentral:rRNA from 1 species
GAUGAACGCUAGCGGCGGGCUUAAUACAUGCAAGUCGAGGGGCAGCACGAUGUAGCAAUACAUUGGUGGCGACCGGCGGACGGGUGCGUAACACGUAUGCAACUUGCCCUAUACUGGGGGAUAGCCCGAAGAAAUUCGGAUUAAUACCCCAUAACAUCAGGAUCAGCAUUGGUCUUGGUUCAAAACUCCGGUGGUAUAGGAUGGGCAUGCGGUCGAUUAGCAUGUUGGUGAGGUAACGGCUCACCAAGGCGACGAUCGAUAGGGGGCCUGAGAGGGUGAUCCCCCACACUGGUACUGAGACACGGACCAGACUCCUACGGGAGGCAGCAGUAAGGAAUAUUGGUCAAUGGGCGAAAGCCUGAACCAGCCACGCCGCGUGAAGGAAGACGGCCCUAUGGGUUGUAAACUUCUUUUCUACGGGAAUAAACCUCAGGACGUGUCCUGAGCUGAAGGUAUCGUAGGAAUAAGGAUCGGCUAACUCCGUGCCAGCCGCCGCAGUAAGAC